ACCAAUUUGAAAUACAUCACUAGUUGCCAGGCAGACUGGCAGUCUCUAGCCCAUCAGAGAGGAAGCCCCUCACCCAGAAGCUCUCAAGGAAAGAUCUUUUCAUCUUCAUUCUGCCUUGCAAAAACAAAGAAUCUAUUCAAGUCCACCCCGGAGGGAUUCAGACAGAAAACAGCAUAGCACAGAAGACUGCAUUGGCAAUCAACUCCAAAGAAAUAAACUUUGCUAUAAACUCAAAGGAACAACAAAAUAAUGGAGAACCUGCUGUUGAACAGAUAACCAAUUGCCUGCAUUAUCCAAGAUUUGGUAAGCUUUUCAUUCAGCAAAGCAGGGAAAGACGUGGCUGCUUCCUGUCAAUUCUGCACCAUGAAUCAGCCAUAGGGGUCAAUGCAGGUAACUCCUACCCCUUCAAGAUUUACUGAACCAUUGAGAGAGAGAGAGAGAGAAAAUGAGUAGAAUGACUUUGCAGCCAUAUAAUUAAGGCAUUUACCUGGGAAAAGGGAGAUCAGGGUUGCCUUCCUUGUUUCUGUAUUUUGUCAAAUGACUGUAUGAGAGCAGGGAGUUGUAUUCUGUUCUUAGUGGUACCAAAUGAGGGUCCUACCUACUAGCCGACAGAGUCAUGCUAUCUCUUGUUCUCUUGCAUUGUUUCCUUCUUAA